rnacentral:misc_RNA from 1 species
GAUGAAGAACGCAGCGGAAUGCGAUACUUGGUGUGAAUUGCAGAAUCCCGUGAACCAUCGAGUCUUUGAACGCAAGUUGCGCCCGAAGCCAUUAGGCCGAGGGCACGCCUGCCUGGGCGUCACACGUCGUUGCCCCCCCAUCUACUCCUUCGGGAUUGCGGGGGGCGGAUGAUGGCCUCUCGUGCGCCUCGUCGCGCGGUUGGCCUAAAUGCCAAGUCCUCGGCGACGCACGCCACGACAAUCGGUGGUUGCGAAACCUCGGUUGCCUGUCGUGUGCGGUCGUCGCGCAUCGAGGGCUCGAAAAAAUUGCCGGGCUUCGGCUCGACUUUCAACGCGACCCCAGGUCAGGCGGGGUUACCCGCUGAAUUUAAGCAUAUCAAUAAGCGGAGGA